GAUCAACGCUGGCGGCGUGCUUAACACAUGCAAGUCGAACGAAGUUUUUCUUUCGGGAGGAACUUAGUGGCGGACGGGUGAGUAACGCGUGGGUAACCUGCCCUGUACAGGGGGACAACAGCUGGAAACGGCUGCUAAUACCGCAUAAGCCCUUAGCACUGCAUGGUGCAUAAGGAAAAGGAGCAAUCCGGUACAGGAUGGACCCGCGUCUGAUUAGCCAGUUGGCAGGGUAACGGCCUACCAAAGCGACGAUCAGUAGCCGAUCUGAGAGGAUGUACGGCCACAUUGGGACUGAGACACGGCCCAGACUCCUACGGGAGGCAGCAGUGGGGAAUAUUGCACAAUGGAGGAAACUCUGAUGCAGCGACGCCGCGUGAGUGAAGAAGUAUUUCGGUAUGUAAAGCUCUAUCAGCAGGAAAGAAAAUGACGGUACCUGACUAAGAAGCACCGGCUAAAUACGUG
rnacentral:rRNA from 1 species